AUUGAACGCUGGCGGCAGGCCUAACACAUGCAAGUCGAACGAGUGGCGGACGGGUGAGUAAUGUCUGGGAAACUGCCUGAUGGAGGGGGAUAACUACUGGAAACGGUAGCUAAUACCGCAUACCAUCGGAUGUGCCCAGAUGGGAUUAGAGAGUGGGUGGGGUAACGGCUCACCUAGGCGACGAUCCCAAGCUGGUCUGAGAGGAUGACCAGCCAGACUGGAACUGAGACACGGUCCAGACUCCUACGGAAGGCAGCAGUGGGGAAUAUUGCACAAUGGGCGCAAGCCUGAUGCAGCCAUGCCGCGUGGAUGAAGAAGGCCUUCGGGUUGUAAAGUACUUUCAGCGGGAAGGCGUUACCCGCAGAAGAAGCCCCGGCUAACUCCGUGCCAGCAGCCGCGGUAAUUC
rnacentral:rRNA from 1 species